GACAUCGCCUCAACGACUGCUCACCCCAUUCGAAAAAUGGAUAAAGGACAAGAUGCCACGCAUUCUCGGCUUCUUCGUGGCGUGGAACACCACCGCGAUGCUGUUCUGCUGCGGCGCCAACUUGGCCGGACUGCGAUACCCGCCCAAGUGGUUCACCAACCAGGACGCAAGCAGCCUGACUCUCAGAGAAAAC
rnacentral:lncRNA from 1 species